AAAUUACAGUAAAAUCGAGCCCUAAUUUAGCCGGAGGGAAAAAACCCUAGCCCUAAUUUUGAUAAUAGCUCUCAGGGAUCUCUACCAGAUUUUUGAAUUUUGGGCUGAGGUAAGGAGUCCCUAAGUCUCUUUUUCUUUUUCUUUUUUUAACAAUUUAAUGGAUCCAUUUAAUUUAAAUAUAUUUCUGUAAUUGAAUUGCGAUUCAGUUUCCGUUACCCCCAAAUCCAGUUUCAUUUUGCAGUCACUUAUUUCCUUUACCCAAUCACUUACUCUUCAUUAAGUGGGAAGAAAGAAGCUAAUUUGCAAAUGCUGUUAAUUGAAUGGGUCAUUAAUUGCUCAAAUGGUUAGUGGAAAUUUUGAAUUUUUUUUUUCCUGAUCGCCACCAGAUGGACAUAAUUUCCCAACUACAAGAACAUUUGAAUACGAUGGCAUCACUUGCAUUCAAUACCUUUGGGACACUUCAAAGGGAUGCCCCUCCUGUUCGUCUGUCACCUAAUUAUCCAGAGCCUCCUAUUACUAAGGCCGCAGAAGAUGAUGCUGCUGAUCUUGCAGAGCAACCCAAACUCAUGAGUGCCGACUUAGUGAAAGCUGCCAAGCAGGUUUGUUGAUUAGUCCUAAUUUGUGUGUGUGUGUGUGUGUAAUCGCUUAGGUUUUAAUCAUUUAGUGAAAAUAUGGAAGAUGCGUCCACAAAUCUGUUGUAUUUUCAUUUUUUUUGUAAAACCGAGAUGGCUUGUUUCGGGAAUUAUUUUUGAACUGACUGAUCUUUGUGCAGUUCGAUGCAUUGGUUGCUGCACUUCCAUUAUCUGAGGGAGGGGAAGAAGUUCAAUUGAAAAAAAUUGCAGAACUCCAGGUUCGAGUUACGAGUUCUUUAUCUUCAUUGCCAAUUACUUGAUAUAGUACUAACUCAUUUAGCUCCUAAAUUUGGAGGGGCAAAAAGGCAUUCAAGUGAAAAAAUGUAGCUGCUAGGUUUUGGUAUUUUGAUGAGAAUUGAAAUUUUCUCAAAAGUUGGAGACAUGAUAACUGGUUAUUGUCAAGGUUGCUGAUAUUAUCCCUAAUCUAACAAUGUUGUAAAGGCUGAAGAUGAACAAUCUCCUGAUAAUUGUUUUUCAUUUUUGUCGAUGUUGGGUAAUAUACAUUUCAUAGAGAUGUCCAAAUCUCUCUUUUGUUCAUGUAAUUGGUAAGUAUUAUCAAGCUUCACUAAUCUAAAAAAGAAUCUCUCGGCAGGCUGAAAAUGACGCAAUAGGCCAAGAACUUCAAAAGCAAUUAGAAGCUGCAGGUAAGAUCUUCAAACUUGGCGUUAGUGUGAUAAGAAUUACAAAUUCCGCCAGGCUAAGAUUCUACUGAAUAGUUAUUCUAAGACCUGAAACUUGAUGCUUCAUGUAAUGGUAUCUCCUUUUGUCAAUAGAUUAAUAACUACACAUGUAGAGUUGCAUGCCUAUGCUGAAAUUACGUGUGAGCAAAUGGUUUAUAUGGUACGUUUCAUAUUGGUUUGGAUUUUUGGGUUUUAUAGGAAGCAUACGAGCUGAAUUUUGUUACCUAAACGGUUAAACCUAACUGAACUUUAAAAAAUUGCCUGGUUCAGUUCAACGUAAUUUUCUCCUGUUUUUCCUUAAAGAAAGUAAUGUUCAAGUACUCUCCAAUUCCAAAGCCCCAUACCCUUUUGCCCCUGCCACAGGCCUCAAUAGCGCCU
rnacentral:lncRNA from 1 species